rnacentral:rRNA from 1 species
UACAGAGGUGGCAAGCGUUGUUCGGAAUUCCUGGGCGUAAAGGGCGCGUAGGUGGCCUUGUUAGUCAGACGUGAAAUCCCCAAGCUUAACUUGGGAACUGCGUCUGAUACUGCAAGGCUUGAGUUCGGGAGAGGGAUGUGGAAUUCCAGGUGUAGCGGUGAAAUGCGUAGAUAUCUGGAGGAACACCGGUGGCGAAGGCGGCAUCCUGGACCGAAACUGACACUGAGGCGCGAAAGCCAGGGGAGCAAACGGG